CCUACGGGUGGCAGCAGUGAGGAAUAUUGGUCAAUGGACGCGAGUCUGAACCAGCCAAGUCGCGUGAAGGAUGACUGCCCUCUGGUUUGUAAACUUCUUUUAUAUGGGAAUAAAAUGUUUCACGUGUGUGAUUUUGUCUGUACCAUAUGAAUCCGGAUCGGCUAACUCCGUGCCAGCAGCAGCGGUACUACGGAGGGUCCGAGCGUUAUCCGGAUUUAUUGGGUUUAAGGGGAGCGUAGGUGGAUUGUUAAGUCAGUUGUGAAAGUUCGCGGCUCAACCGUGGAAUUGCAGUUGAAACUGGCAGUCUUGAGUACAGUAGAGGUGAGCGGAAUUCCUGGUGUAGCGGUGAAAUGCGUAGAUAUCACGAAGAACUCCAAUUGCGAAGGCAACUCACUGGACUGCAACUGACACUGAGGCUCGAAAGUGUGGGUAGCAAACAGGAUUAGAUACCCUAGUAGUC
rnacentral:rRNA from 1 species